rnacentral:tRNA from 1 species
AUUCCUUUAGUAUCAACAAGUACAGCUGACUUCCAAUCAGCCAGUUUCGGUAGAAUCCGAAANGGAAUA